UCCUGCCAGUAGUCAUAUGCUUGUCUCAAAGAUUAAGCCAUGCAUGUGUAAGUACAAGCCUAAGAUUAAAGGUAAAACCGCGAAUGGCUCAUUAAAUCAGCUAUGAUUCAUUGGAUCUGUACGCCCACUUACUUGGAUAACUGUGGUAAUUCUAGAGCUAAUACAUGCAGCAAGUCUCUGACCGCAAGGGAAGAGCGCUUUUAUUAGAUCAAAACCGGCCGGAUCUCUUGAGGUCCGUAACCCACUGUGACGAAUCUGAAUAACCUGUGGCUGAGCGCACGGUCUUGGCACCGGCGCCGCAUCCUUCAAGUGUCUGCCUUAUCAGCUGUCGAUUGUAGGUUACGCGCCUACAAUGGCUAUAACGGGUAACGGGGAAUCAGGGUUCGAUUCCGGAGAGGGAGCCUGAGAAACGGCUACCACAUCUAAGGAAGGCAGCAGGCACGCAAAUUACCCACUCCCGGCACGGGGAGGUAGUGACGAAAAAUAACGAUGCGAGUCUCAUCCGAGGCCUCGCAAUCGGAAUGAGUACACCCUAAACCAUUGAACGAGGAUCUAUUGGAGGGCAAGUCUGGUGCCAGCAGCCGCGGUAAUUCCAGCUCCAAUAGCGUAUAUUAAAGUUGUUGCAGUUAAAAAGCUCGUAGUUGGAUUGAAGUUGUGGAGUGACGGUGGUGUGCACCGCCCGGUGCCUCUUCUAACUGUCACGCUCCCAACGGAUUGGGUCGGCUCGCACGGGGUGCUCUUGAUCGAGUGUCCCGGGUGACCGGCAUGUUUACUUUGAAAAAAUUAGAGUGCUCAAGGCAGGCUACUUGAAUGGCCUGAAUGGUGGUGCAUGGAAUAAUGGAAUAGGACCUCGGUUCUAUUGUGUUGGUUUGCUGAACCAGAGGUAAUGACUAAUCGGAACAGGCGGGGGCAUUCGUACUGCGACGCUAGAGGUGAAAUUCUUGGACCGUCGCAAGACGAACUACUGCGAAAGCAUUUGCCAAGGAUGUUUUCAUUAAUCAAGAACGAAAGUUAGAGGUUCGAAGGCGAUCAGAUACCGCCCUAGUUCUAACUGUAAACGAUGCCAACCAGCGAUACGCCGGCGUUAUUCCCAUGACCCGGCGGGCAGCUUCUGGGAAACCAAAGUCUUUGGGUUCCGGGGGAAGUAUGGUUGCAAAGCUGAAACUUAAAGGAAUUGACGGAAGGGCACCACCAGGAGUGGAGCCUGCGGCUUAAUUUGACUCAACACGGGAAACCUCACCAGGCCCGGACACCGGAAGGAUUGACAGAUUGAAAGCUCUUUCUCGAUUCGGUGGGUGGUGGUGCAUGGCCGUUCUUAGUUGGUGGAGCGAUUUGUCUGGUUAAAUCAGAUAACGAACGAGA
rnacentral:rRNA from 1 species